UCCGUGCUUCCUCUGCAGUUCCGCCCCUAUUCCUCCGCUGAGGGGCGCACUGUCCUCACAGAGCCAAGUCCUCACAGCGGUUUGUCUUCUGCAGUGGUGGAAAUGGACCUGUUCUGUAAGGCUCCAGGAGAAGGGGACGCCGGAAGGGCUGCCUUCCAAGCCGCAGCCACAGAUGAGUGCGGGAUUCAAGCCUAACUUGGACCACAUGGGCCACCGGAGCCCAACUAGGGCGGCCUCUGCAGCGUGGACUGCCUGCCCUGAAAGAGGGCGGCAGCUGGUGCUCCCGCAGCCCAGCACGCUGUCACCGUGAAGGGCUCCAAGCCCCCGGUGGCUGAGGCCCUGUUUAUCAUCUGUACACUUCCAGCUUCUACGGGAAGUGGCCCGACGUUCAUUAACUGUCCCUAAGGAAAAUUCUUUUCUUGGUGUGAGAGAAUGAUGUUCAUCUUCAGAAAAACAAGUGGGGCAAAUAGAUAAAGGGCUGGUUGGGGGGAGAGGGGAUAUGGGUUUUCUGGUUUCUGUUCAUGGGUUUUGAGCAAUCACCCAAGUGAAGGCUGGCAGGAAGGAGAUUAUCCUGAAGCAAAAGCCGGGAACAGCAUGGUCUGGCUAGCUUGUGCUUUCUCAAGCGUGUGUUACCCACGAAGUAAGACUGGAAACGUUAGUUAUGGCUCGCUGAUGUGUAGUGUGUUUGUACUUUUCAAAGACUGUUGGCGAGCCGGACGUGGACCAGCGCGCCUGCAAUCCCAGAGCUCCUCAGGAGACGGAGGCAGGAGGAGCACAGGUCCCAGUUCAGCCUCAUCUACAUAACUAUCGAAGAAAAGGAGCAGGAAAAGAAAGAAAACUAAAAAACGGGGUGGUUGAGAUAGCUCAGCAAUAAUAGCCUUGCUACCAAGCGUAGCCACCUGGGUUGGAACCCCAGACCCCACAGGGUGGAAGGAGAAAACUGUCUCCUGCAAGUUACUUCACAUGCACACUGUGACCCUUCAAUACAUACGCACAGGCACGCACACACCCCACGUCCAUAUCAUGCCUUUGGGUUGAAAUUACUUUCCUGGCCGUCCUCAUUGCUUCUUUACUGCGCAGGACUUUUAGAAGGUUGUCUCCUUCGGCCUCUUCUUCUCCCAGUAAUGCCAGGAAUGGACAUGAAAAUUAACGGCAACUACUCUUUUGAAGCAAAAUGCGAAGCCAGAAAAAUAAUAGAGAUCGUGGAUUUCAUCAACAUUUUAAACUUUGGGGACAGAAGAGAUGGCUCAGAGGACCAGGGUUCGUUCCCAGCACACUGGACAGUUUGAAACCCAGCUCCAAAGACCUCAAUACCCUCUUGUGGCCUCCAAAGGACUUCUAGAAGAGGAACAAGAGCUAAGCUAUUUCUGUAGCCCCUAUUUUUUUCCCAGCAGCCGCUGGGGAAGGAAGGAUUACCCGUAUUCGGUCCGGACCGAAGCUCCAGAGCAGAGCAGUAUGUCAAAGGUCACAGAGGCACAAAGUGGGCCAGCUAGGAGCUGAAGCACUUCCUUUCACCACCUUCCAGGGCCCCAAGGGAGGAAGAGGAAUCCCCAGGCCUUCGCUGCCUGGCGCCGGGUCACGUAGCCAAUGAAUAUCAGAGCUGUCACGUGACCGUGAUUCUGGUUUUGGGGCCCGACGUUCCAGUCACUGGGAGAAGAAACAAGAAUGAGACAGAAACAAAACAGGCCAAUUCCUGUCCAUUUGCCAGAAGACGGUUAACAGAAAGUCACAGCACUGUAGAGGAUUUUAAUUGGGAAUAUGGGUGCUCUGGCUAGAGAUCGCAUCCACUGAAGACCUUCUGGGUCUGUGUGAUCUGGCUGGAAUUCAGACAUGUCUUUAAUCCUAGGAGACAGAGACAAGCAGAUCUCUGAGUCUGAGGCCAGCCUGGUAGAGAGAAAAAAAAAAUGCUUGGGUCCGGGCGUAGUGGUACAGGCCUCUAAUCCCAGCACUCAGGAGACAGAGGCAGGCAGAUCUCUGAGUUCUAGUCAAUGCUUGUUCAGUCAGGUUGGUUGAGCCUGUGAGCUGAGAGGCAGGGCGGUGGAGCUGAGUUCAUGGCAGUUCAGUUCUCAGAAUUCAGAGGCAGUUUUUACUGGGAGAGUUUUACAGAGACAGGCUGAAGAGACAACAAGUUAGACAGGGGUGAAGACAGAUGAGCCAGAGAAUGAGAAGGAGCCAGAAGAUUAGAACAGAUUGUUAAAGCUGAUUUGAGGUUAGGCAGGGCACAAAGUCAGAAACCAAGAGAGAAGCCAGUUUGAAUCGGUCAGCUUGGAGAAGGGUUUGAGCCGGAACAGCUGAAUUGAACCAGGCAGCCCGAGCUCAGAAAGAGCGAGAAAGGAUGAGCUUAUUCAGCGGUAAGUCUCAGAGGUUGAAAGCAUUCUCAGCCUUGAUUAGAUUGCAUGGAGGCUAGACGCUUCCAGGACUAGGCCUAGGUUAGCAGACAGAGGCAGUAAGCCUCCCAGAUGACAACUGAACCAGGUGAAUAGAAGAUCUUUUAACACAGCACGAUUACAAGCGCUGUGAAAGGACCCUCAGACUGAUCUGUGAGCUCCCCGUCAGCAGAGCCUGCUGCACUGGGGGAGAAGACAGGGCAGGGAUGAUCUGUGAGGAAGCAGCAUUGACCCAGAGCAGGGAUUAGGUGGGAGCAUGCGGAGUGCUGCAGGCCGAAGCCUGAAAAUCUGAUGUGCAGGAAGGGGCGGGGCAGCAGCAAGCUGGCCACACUGAGGGAUGGGGGGAAGCAUGAGACCGUUAGACCCGGGCAAGUGGGGCACACCUGUGAUCUCAGCACUUAGGAGGUUACGUUGGGAGGCUAGGGAGUUCCGGGCCAACCUGGGCUACCUAGAAGAGAAAGGAAAGAAAGAAAAAGAAUGAAAGUCUGAGAGAAAGAGAAACAGAAAGGAAGGGAGGGGAGGGAUGGAAAGAAAGAGGGAGGAAAGAAGGGAGCCAACCAACAGCAACGAAAAGCAAAACUCUCAGCAGGGCGGUGGUGGUGCGCAGCAGAAGCAGGCAGAUCUCCGAGUUCGAGGCCAGCAGGGUCUACAGAGCAAGUUCCAGGGCAGCCAGGGCUACACAGAGAAACUCUGUCUCAAAACAAAACAAAAAACACAGAGCCCUCUUCUACAGGGGCAAGCCCUAAGGACACUGUGGAUUCAAGGUUGUUUGCUGUCCACUCUCUUCAUGUGAGUGAAGACGUGGUGGUGCAUCUUCUUGUCUGGCUCAGUGAUGUUCUUGUGAUGAAAGCACUUCAAGCCCCUAACUGAUCCAGCUGUGGCCUGUCUUCCUCCCGCUCACUAGAGAUGUGUUGGCCUUCCUACAUCCAGUGUCCUGUCAGCCGUCUCCUCGUCUGUAUUGUAUCUUCCAGUCUUCCUAAGGCUGUUCCUCCUAAAACCAUCCGUUCCCCUCCCUGGAAAGUUUCCUCCUUUGAUCUCCUCACGGAUUCAAACAAAAGCGAACCUAAAUAAAAGAAAUCCAAAUCACUUCAUUUGUGUUUAUACUUAU